rnacentral:rRNA from 1 species
GAUGAACGCUGGCGGCGUGCCUAAUACAUGCAAGUCGAGCGAACGGACGAGAAGCUUGCUUCUCUGAUGUUAGCGGCGGACGGGUGAGUAACACGUGGAUAACCUACCUAUAAGACUGGGAUAACUUCGGGAAACCGUAGCUAAUACCGGAUAAUAUUUUGAACCGCAAGGUUCAAAAGUGAAAGACGGUCUUGCUGUCACUUAUAGAUGGAUCCGCGCUGCAUUAGCUAGUUGGUAAGGUAACGGCUUACCAAGGCAACGAUGCAUAGCCGACCUGAGAGGGUGAUCGGCCACACUGGAACUGAGACACGGUCCAGACUCCUACGGGAGGCAGCAGUAGGGAAUCUUCCGCAAUGGGCGAAAGCCUGACGGAGCAACGCCGCGUGAGUGAUGAAGGUCUUCGGAUCGUAAAACUCUGUUAUUAGGGAAGAACAUAUGUGUAAGUAACUGUGCACAUCUUGACGGUACCUAAUCAGAAAGCCACGGCUAACUACGUG